rnacentral:rRNA from 1 species
GAUGAACGCUGGCGGCGUGCCUAAUACAUGCAAGUCGAGCGAACGGACGAGAAGCUUGCUUCUCUGAUGUUAGCGGCGGACGGGUGAGUAACACGUGGAUAACCUACCUAUAAGACUGGGAUAACUUCGGGAAACCGGAGCUAAUACCGGAUAAUAUUUUGAACCGCAUGGUUCAAAAGUGAAAGACGGUCUUGCUGUCACUUAUAGAUGGAUCCGCGCUGCAUUAGCUAGUUAGUAAGGUAACGGCUUACCAAGGCAACGAUGCAUAGCCGACCUGAGAGGGUGAUCGGCCACACUGGAACUGAGACACGGUCCAGACUCCUACGGGAGGCAGCAGUAGGGAAUCUUCCGCAAUGGGCGAAAGCCUGACGGAGCAACGCCGCGUGAGUGAUGGAGGUCUUCGGAUCGUAAAACUCUGUUAUUAGGGAAGAACAUAUGUGUAAGUAACUGUGCACAUCUUGACGGUACCUAAUCAGAAAGCCACGGCUAACUACGUGCCAGCAGCCGCGGUAAUACGUAGGUGGCAAGCGUUAUCCGGAAUUAUUGGGCGUAAAGCGCGCGUAGGCGGUUUUUUAAGUCUGAUGUGAAAGCCCACGGCUCAACCGUGGAGGGUCAUUGGAAACUGGAAAACUUGAGUGCAGAAGAGGAAAGUGGAAUUCCAUGUGUAGCGGUGAAAUGCGCAGAGAUAUGGAGGAACACCAGUGGCGAAGGCGACUUUCUGGUCUGUAACUGACGCUGAUGUGCGAAAGCGUGGGGAUCAAACAGGAUUAGAUACCCUGGUAGUCCACGCCGUAAACGAUGAGUGCUAAGUGUUAGGGGGUUUCCGCCCCUUAGUGCUGCAGCUAACGCAUUAAGCACUCCGCCUGGGGAGUACGACCGCAAGGUUGAAACUCAAAGGAAUUGACGGGGACCCGCACAAGCGGUGGAGCAUGUGGUUUAAUUCGAAGCAACGCGAAGAACCUUACCAAAUCUUGACAUCCUUUGACAACUCUAGAGAUAGAGCCUUCCCCUUCGGGGGACAAAGUGACAGGUGGUGCAUGGUUGUCGUCAGCUCGUGUCGUGAGAUGUUGGGUUAAGUCCCGCAACGAGCGCAACCCUUAAGCUUAGUUGCCAUCAUUAAGUUGGGCACUCUAAGUUGACUGCCGGUGACAAACCGGAGGAAGGUGGGGAUGACGUCAAAUCAUCAUGCCCCUUAUGAUUUGGGCUACACACGUGCUACAAUGGACAAUACAAAGGGCAGCGAAACCGCGAGGUCAAGCAAAUCCCAUAAAGUUGUUCUCAGUUCGGAUUGUAGUCUGCAACUCGACUACAUGAAGCUGGAAUCGCUAGUAAUCGUAGAUCAGCAUGCUACGGUGAAUACGUUCCCGGGUCU